ACUAUUUUGGCAGAAAAAUGCAAUGAUUUUAGAAAUCAUAAAUAUAUAAUUUAUUAUAUAGUUAGUA
rnacentral:tRNA from 1 species